UACGAAGGGGGCUAGCGUUGCUCGGAAUCACUGGGCGUAAAGGGUGCGUAGGCGGGUCUUUAAGUCAGGGGUGAAAUCCUGGAGCUCAACUCCAGAACUGCCUUUGAUACUGAGGAUCUUGAGUUCGGGAGAGGUGAGUGGAACUGCGAGUGUAGAGGUGAAAUUCGUAGAUAUUCGGAAGAACACCAGUGGCGAAGGCGGCGAUCUGGGAAGAUACUGACGCUGAGGUGCGAAAGCGUGGGGAGCAAACAGG
rnacentral:rRNA from 1 species